UCUUGUACACACCGCCCGUCACACCAUGGAAGAUGGGUGCACCAGAAGCAUGCCGCAAGGUAUACCAAGGUGAAACCAGUUGACUGGGGUG
rnacentral:rRNA from 1 species